CCCACUUUUCACUCUUUUUCAUUAGGACCCCGACAAGCUUGUCAGCAAAAUUAAAGGUUGACCUCAGACGGUCUCCAUCUCGCAGGGCUCUGUUAGAAAGCGGCAAGCAGCAAGUGGACCUGGGCUGCAUAAGCACCUGCUGGGCUCUCAACUUGUGCAGGUGGUAAAACACUGGCUGCCAUGAACUUCAUGUUAAAAAAAGAGAAAGAAGAAAAAGCUGUGGUUUGGAGGCUGCUAGAGCUGCUAGAUGGCAAACUGCAAGCUUGUGAUGUGGCUGCUGAAAUCUCUACAAGGAUAAUCGGGCAUACAUGCAUUUGUGGAUAUUUCCAUUUGCUAAUUGCUCAUGAAAUUUCAGGUUGAAAGUGAAGAAGGGAAUCUUCCACGCGGCUGCAUCUUGAAAAGGAGGUGCUGCAGUGAUUGCUUCCUGUCCAAACAUGCCACGCUGCUCAAAGGGACUGGCCAGGUAUUUACAAUCUAGGGAAUGGAGGGGCACCAAGAGGAAAAUGGGAGAUCUGUGGAACCGAAGCAGGUCAGCAGGAAGGAAGUGGACCUGAUUGUGUUGUGUGGGGCAAGUACCAGGAUCCUACGUAAGCAAAUGCUGUGGGGGCUCCCCAUCAUCUCAGUGGAGCCGGACUGCUGUUCCAGCUGGAGUUUAAGGCAGGAAGGGAGCGAGCGGUGAGCUGGGCUUGGGACUGUCUCAGCUCUGUUAUGAGGGAAGCUUGAGCUGGUGAUUCCAUGAGAAAAAGGCAACGGCUGAAAAGAACAUAAGCAAUAAACAGCAGGUCUAUUAGUAUUUGCAGUCUUUUUCUUGCCAUAGUUAUGUUACAUUCCCUUGUGAUUUUAUGAUAUCAGAUUGAAUUGUCAAGAUCUCACCAGCCUCUGCCCUUAAACAACUGGAUGAGGUGUAUUUUAGCCUGUAUUUCUAUGUGGUUAAAUACUAAACAAAUAUUUUAAAACUCUGCACAUCAGAGAAAGGAUGGCAUUUAGUCAAUUGUAUAGAGAACGCAUUUAAAGAAAUAUCUGCAUUUUUCUGGGCUUAUUUAAGGCCUUUGUGAAAUGAUUACCACUGACCUGAGAAGGACAAGUGAGUGCCAGUCUGAAUUGGCACAAAGGCAUGGGGCAUAAAGGAGGCGCAGCAUAAAAGUAUGGGCAGGGCCACGCGGAGACACCGACAUGUCUUCAAACCCAGGAUCGCCAUAUUCCUCCUAAAUUAUCUCACCUUUUCUGUGUCUUUUGCUUUUUAGGACUUAACUCCAGUUUUCCUGGCCCAUUAUGCAGUAGUCCUCUGUGUGUGAGAAGUGCAACUAUGAAACAAACAAAAAAGCCCCCAAACCAAAUGAGGACAGCCUGAUCUACCCCAGAACAACAGAUGGACAUUAAAAACCAAUCUCAGGAUACCUCAGUCUUGCAAAACUUCUUUCUCAGAUCUUCUGAUGAAGAAAUUCUUCUAGAUUUUUUUUUCCCCUUAGCUAGUCUGAAAUACACUUCUCUGGGUCAGGUCGUGAAUAGUAUUCUAAUGAGAUUGUCUAGUAAAGAAAGGAUGUCCAGCUGGGCCUGCUGUGUGUCAGUUAAAAUAAUAUUUGUAGCAAACCUUUUCACAAGCGUUUACUGGACCUCUUCAGUGGCUCGUUUUUUGGUAUGAUGCUGGAGGGCCAGGAGGUGGCUGGUGACAAGACUAAAACCUGAUGUAUGGCUGGAAGAUGGUUGUUCAUUCUUACGUCUGACAGCAAUGCCUCGCUGCCACCAAGGUGGCAUAUUCGGCUUUUAGAGACAUGCUGUUCCCUGGGAGCUGCAAGGAUCCACUGAAGGGUGUCCAACUUUCUCCUGUGUCCAGGAGGAAUUAGGUAAAUGGUCAGCCAGAUGUGAUGGACACCAUGAGACAACUCUCUUUCCACAAGUAGCGCACGCCUGACAGAAAUAGGUGGCAGAGCAACUGGCAUUCGACUCUCACCAUCUUUUGGCACUUGAAAAAAAAAAACAAAAAAAAGACCAAAGAAAGCAAGCCAAAGGUAGUUUAUGUGCAGCUCAGGAAGCUCUCAGAAAUGAAUGUGUCUGUGAUUUAAUAACACAUCGACACAAAAUGACGCUUCUCCUAAUAUUCACUGAGAGAAAGAAAGCAGAGCAGUAUGGGGCCAUAACCAGCACACAAUGCGUUACUAUUGCAACAACAAACAGCUGAACUACCAGGUAUUUAUUUUUCACCAUGCACACUUGUUGGAGGAGAAUGAAAAUUAUUCUUUGACACUCUGAUGGUGUCUUAGAAAGCCCUGUGCUUCCCCUAGCGCCCAUCGCCCUGACAAGAAGCAACUCACAAAUUCUAAUAAAUAGAAAAUAGAAAUAAAUACUUUAACUGUAUAGUAUAGGGUUCUGAAUGGCUUUCAGAAUCAGAAAGGGCUGCUCGUAUGUCUUCGUUAUGUCUACACUCUGUAACGUUGGCUCUCCAAAAGUCAGAGGCAAAGUGAGAUAGAUUCUACUAGGAUCACAGACACUACACUGGGAAACCAAGUAUCAAUGGUACAUCCAGAUUUAUGGUAGGUUAUGGCAGUAAAGUGAAAGCAAAACUGUUUGCACAGUCUGUAUUGUUGCCCAUUACUGUGUAUUUGCCCUUUUUUCUUGCUUAGCUACAGCUGAAAGAAUGGAAAAUUGUACCUUAUAUAUAGUAUUAGGAGACUCUUUUUGAUCGUAAGGUCAAUCAGACUAGUUUACCUGCUUGAGGUAUUUAUGGCACAAUCACUCAGUGUCUUUAAGGAAAGGUUAGAUACAUUUAUGGGAAAGGUGUUUUGCAGAAGCCUUCCUGUUUCAUAGAGGUCUUGGGCAAAAUGACCCAGGAGGCCCCUUCCAAGUCUAUCAAAUGUGGUUCCCUGAUUGAUGCCGUUCCACCCCCCCCCCCCAAGUCUUUUCAAAACACAAAGCACUGUUAUAAAAUGUAAUAUAAUACACUAUAUAACUUUAACACAAUGCCUUAUAGGAAAUGGUUAGCUGGUAGCACAGGAGCCUCACGCAAAAGGAAGAAAAGAAGAAAAAAAGAAAUUGCAGUGCCGCCUCUCUGCCAAGGGAUAUCGACUGUAACAUUUACACCGGUUCUCAGUAUGGCCCCUCAGCUGUGCAGAGGGGAGACCAAGUCAUGGAAGUGUAGUGCAUAUUAUAACCCAGGCUGCAGUAUAUAUUUUUCCAGAAAAACCCAACAAGGCCUGAGGUAAUUUUCUAUGCAGCGCAGUAAGGAGUCCCUCAGUGCUGGAAAGCAAACGGACACCCACCUCGCCUUACAAAUAACUGCCUGGUGUUGUAAUUGGCUGGGCUUAAUGUAGAGCUGCCUGGAGGCAAGACACAGGAGCGUCCAACCCCUCUCUGCAGGCCCACAGGGCCAUAAUGCAGGUGUGUCCCCCACCUACGGUCUCCAACCCUUCUGUGGUUACAAAUGGCAGGAAUGAAACCAAGACAGAAAGGAGAAGAGGCUCAGAAAAGCCCUUUCUGCAGUUAACCACCCUCUCUAAGAUGGCUUUGUCCUGGCCUGCUGCCAUCCAUGAAGCCAUCGUGCAGCAGGUGCAGCAAAGCCCUGAGAACUACAAGCCCUGAAAGCUGGACUUCUAAAACCCUUUGCCGAGUGCAGCAAAAUCACUGGGGAGCACCUUUGCCUGUUGACUAAAGACUGUUAGAGCUUUGGUCACAUUUUCCCUUAUUUUACUACAAGAUGCUGCUUAAGAGCAAAUUCCAUUUCUUUAAGGAGUGGCCGUCAUGUAUCACAGCACUGAGGCUUCCGUGGAGCUGGAGACCUAGCAAGCUGAAAGUGGUUAGUAAAGAUGUGUUUCCUGGCCCAUCAUUUGGGAACAAGUCGUGUGUGCCAUUUGUUUUUCAGACAGAAUGCUCUCCAGGUCUUUCACUUGGCCACGUUGGACACCUUCAAGAGUCGUCAGGACAGGGUGCUGGGCCAUCUUGUUUAGACUGUGCUCUUCCUAGAAAGGUUGGACUAGAUGAUCCCUGAGGUCCCUUCCAACCUGGGAUUCUGUGAUUCUGUGAUUUACGUUUUUGGGUCACCAAACCAUUUAGUAAAUGUAUAUAAUCUUUCUGCUUUUUUAAUUUGAGAAGAAAUGUUUUUGCUGAAUGUUUCCUCAAUCGACUAUUUUUUUUUCUUUCAAACUGUUUAAAAGCAUAUUUAAACGUUUAAGUGAAUUUAAUGAAAUUUUUAAAAAGCAAACAACCAGAUUCUCUGGGCCAUUUGGUUGAAAUGCUGUGGCUGGCCUCCAUUGCUCUGUAGUAAGUUUUAAUUUUAGGUUCUCACAGGAAAAAAACAAAACAAACAAACAAGAAAAAAAACCAAACCCCCAAACCCAGAACUUUAUUGAGUUGGGGUUCGCUCUCAAAAUACAUCUUACACUUACCUUUUUAGUUUCACUCCAGCCAACUCCUUUUCCAGAAAACAGCCUCCCACCCCCAUCUUCUUGGAGCAGCUCUGGCAGGAAAUAACAACAUCCAUACACACUCCAAAGUCUUUUGAAGUUUCAUGAAUGUGAGCUGUUGCUUUUGCAGGGCAGGCCAGGAUUAACUUUUAUUAACCUUCUAACCUCAUCCAUGAGACAGAAAAAUUGCCUAGCCUCCCUCCCCCCCCCCCCCCCCCCCCUUUUUUUUUUGUAUUAUUUGGAAGCUUGCAGCCUUCUUUACCUAACAUUUGGGAGUUCAGACACCCUACAGAUGGCAGCAAAAUGAGGACCAUUAAUGGUGCUUUCCCUGAGGAGCUCCCUGAAGCCCCUUUGUUGUAAUCGGUGUCAAUGGCUAGCCCUAAACCUUGUGUUUUCACUUGAAAAUAUUUUCCUGUUGCCGUGAGGCUUGGGUCUCUCUAUCUGAAUAAUAUUUGUGGGAGCAAAUAAUAACCUGUUGGCCCUUUCCAACAUGUUGCAGCAAUGUAUUUUCCUGAUUCCUAUAACAAAAAAAGUGACUUUUAGCAAAAUGAAAAAUUUGACCUGGCUUUAAUCCUGCCAGUGCUACAAUUGCUCAUCCUUAGCACUUACUUCAUCCCUGCAUCACAGCACAGAGUGAGACACUCACGUCGGAAUAGCUCUUCUCACUGGAGUCAAAAUGGUAAAAAUUAGCCUCAGUGAGUGACACAAGCAGAACUUUCAAAGGCAGGAAAAUUUAUCUCCUGCUCUUUGUCUUACAGUACGGAGCAUUUUAGUGGUUGGAAGAUUUAGCUUGCAAGAUCCUGUAUAGAUAAAUCCUAGUGGACAACAGCUCUCCAGCUUCUUUUUUAGGGCAGUUGAGCUCAGCAGCUGGAAUCUGGCAGGGUAUGAGGGGCGCAAUAAGGAUGGAGAAAAACUUUCCUGUAGCCUUCAGGUGUUGGUUAAGGGUCAGGCUCAGGAAACAGCCAAAGCAAACCAAAACUCUCUCAGCUACAUCUCCUCACUGCAUUAUGUGAGGUCAUGGCUGAUUGGUAUAAGGAGUGUGAUUUUGGGCCAGCCCUGCCUCUGCUCUACUGUAGUAUAGGCCAUUAACUUCCUUGAUGAUACAGUCCCUCUUGAGGAUUCUCCUUUUGAAAGAUUUAUACUUGGUUUAAAGCUAAUACAAAUGCUCCACUUUAGCUUUUAGGAGGCCAAGACACUUAAAAAUCUCAGAUGAGCAGGAGAAGCAAGAAGGAAGGCAAAAUCUCUCUCCUCAGGUCCCUUGUAAGGAUGUUCAAAUACCACUUUGAUGAGAACUUUGCAGCUGCUUUGCUGGGUAAACAGAUACAUCACAGCUCUGAUGGGCAGGGAUGCCCUUCACACCAACAAGCAGAGGAAAAGAAGGUGGUGGGGAGAGUAAAAGGCACCUGAAAAAAAAGGCAGGCAAUGAUGGGUACAACUGAACUUUUUGCCUUCCUGAUCUUUGGAAAUGGGAAAACCCAUUCAGGAUCACAGAUUUCCGGAUGGGAAAAUGCAUCUUUAAUUGUGCCACAAAACAGAGAUGGUUUGCUACUGUUGCCUCCUCCAAAAAAAGCUGUUACUAUGAGUUCUUUGGGCCUCUGGCACUCCAUUUCCCAGUUUUCAGUUAAUAAUUCAAAGGUUAUACAUAAACAAUAGUAAUAAAAAUCAUAACAAUACCUGGCUUGCCAUUAUGUUGUGCUCAGUCAUUGUGAUGCUUCUCUCAUGAUAAAAUCUGUGUAUUAAACACUUUAAUUGAAACUCUCAAUAAAACAGAUAUUUUCACUUGUGCAGUUAUAUUCACAUAAUGAUCGCAAAGCACUUUACAGAGUCAAAUAAAAGUAGCCAGCCUGAUCCUUGUAUAGAAGCAAAUGCCAUUAUUGUGCAUCUUCGUAGUAUAUAACAAAGAUGCAUAUGGGCAAUUCGCUGUCAAGCAUCCCUAAUUUUCAGGUUUGUGCUGAACAAACAGCAUCUAAAAAGCUUGGUUUUAUCCUUAAGCUUGUUCUAAAAAUCUCUAAUGCCAUCAGAAGUGACACAGCAAGAGGGGACUGGGCAGUCUCACCUACCAGACAAGAAGAGGAGGCCGCAGACAGGAGGGCUGGUGAACAGUCGUGCCUCAUUAUCAAGAGCCCUGGUUCAGAAAGUAAAAAAGAAAAAUGUUAUCGUUUUCCUCAUUUAUAAAAAAAAGCCAUGGAAGUCUUGAUGUGCUGAGUACCGAGCAGCCUCCAUCGGGUCACUUAGAGCGGACGAGGCAAAACCUGGUGACGCAAAUGCUAGCGUUAAGUGAUGCCGCCGAGGUCUAGAGGGGUCUCAAGCUUUGGGCCUCCUAAGAGGUAGUUCUGGAGCUCAGAGGCAAGCAAAGAGCUUUGUUCCCUCUUGUAUAAUUGAUAAAUUACCAUUGUUAGUACUAAACAAUACUACGGAGCCCAGAAUGGAAACAUGCUAGCGCUUUAUCCAUCUUAAGCAAUUCUGCUCAUGUGCUCAUACUGUUCUUAAAUAUGCUAGAUAUUUGGUUGAUGAAACAAUAAGUUUUAGAAAAGAGAAAAAUAAGAACUUUAAAGAUAAUCAAAACCUUGACUACCUACUUUACCACAGGCAGCUGUGAGUAAGCUUCAGUACUCUUUAUUUUUAACAUUGCAGAUAUGUAAUUUAAUGCAGGUCUAAUGACAGUCUCGAACAUACUGCUUUAAUCGCAAUUGUUCAAGCUCUGUUCUGUGACAAGGGCUCACAAGAUAUCAGCAGGGUUGUCCAUUUUCCCCACUUCUCUAAGGAAAAUAAAAAGGAAGGGAGGGGGACACUCUUGAACUUAUGUUGCUAUUGAUGUGUAAUAUACAAUAAAAAAACAGUUAAAUUUCAAUUACCCACAGGUAAUUAUAAUUUUAUUGUUUGACUGUACUAUGGGGAUUUUUGUAAUUCCCAAGACUAAUAAUUUUCUAUAAUUUUACAGGUUGUCAAAUAAACUAUUAAAGAUUAUCUUUGAAAAGGAUUCUGCAAUUGUAAGGACAUAUCAUACUGUUCCUGUACAUUAUUAGUAAUUAGAGAUCCCUGGAUAGUGAAAUAUCUGCACUAUA